rnacentral:rRNA from 1 species
GACGUAGGGCGCGAGCGUUGUCCGGAUUUAUUGGGCGUAAAGAGCUCGUAGGCGGCUUGUCGCGUCGACUGUGAAAUCCCGACGGCUCAACUGACGGGUCUGCAGUCGAUACGGGCAGGCGUAGAGUUCGGUAGGGGAGACGUGGAAUUCCUGGUGUAGCGGUGAAAUGACGCAGAUAGUCAGGAGGAACGACCGAUGGCGAAGGCAGGUCUCUGGGCCGAUACUGACGCUGGAGGAAGCGAAAGCGUGGGGAGCAACAG